GCCGGGGCGUCCCCCGCGGGAGCCCGCAGCCACCCGGGACGCGCAUCCAGACGUGGCGCUUCGGACCGGGCACGCUGCGCCCGGGGGCUCGGCGGACCCCGCGUAGCCGCCGCUUCGGAGCUUGUGCGGCGCGGGCUGGCCAGCGGGGCGGCCAGGGCCCGGCCCGCCUCCCCAGCGCCCGCCCGGCUUCUCCCCCUGGCGGUGGGAGCCUCGGCGGCCGCUGGCGACACUAGGCGCACUGAAGCCCGAGCCGAGCCGAGCCCGAGCCGCCGCCGCCGCCGCCGCUGCUGCGCACCGCUCCCGGGCUCCCUCCCAGCGCGCCGGCCGGGGUGUGGGGGGCGGCGGGCCGGAGGGGCGAGGGCGGGCCAGGGGGCGCACACGGGGGUUGGCGCGGAAGACAGGACCCUCAGCCUCGAGGGAGCCCCUAGGUGACCAGGCAAAAUGGCAGUUCCUUCCAGCUGGUCCUCAGAUGGGCACAUCUAUUAGCCUCUGCUCUUGUAAGAAGUUAGCUGCAGAACCCACAUGUGAAUCCUUGUAGGACUCUGGAGAAGAUCAAAUGGGAGCUUAGAUGUGGAAGCUCUUUGGAAACCAAGAAACACUCUGAAAAUGAAAAGGGAUCUCAACUUUUCUCUUCCCGCUCCAGCUGCACUAUGUAUCCGUGCUUGGCUCUCAGUUGUUGGAUUCUCAUGUCUCCUUUUUCACAGUGGCUCAGGUGGAAGAGUAAACUGUUCCUGUUUCUCCAUCUUGACAGGAAGCAGAAGUUCUCCUUAGCUGAUUUUUCUUCUUGCCUUAUACUGGGUUCUUUAACACCAGAACAAAAAUAAAUAAAUAAAAGAAUCUUCCAGAAAUUCAUGAAGAGACUUCAGGUCAGGAAAGCCUGAACUUUCUCAUCCAACACCCGUUCAAGUCGGAGGAUGCUGAUUAAUUCAUGAUGGAAAGGUAUCAAUUUCACAGCCCAGACCUCUACAUUCUUGAAAUGCUCUUCUCAUGGGAGACAUUAAAUAAGCUUUGAAUUAACUUGCCAUGACACCCAGGAUGCAGCUGUAGGAACACCACUGGGUCCCUGGAUGUCAUGUAAGCCCUUAAGUAAAAGUGCCAUCAAAUGAUUUCUCAGAAAUUAUAAAGAAACAAAAGGACCAUAAACAAGAUAAGGUGGCAUGAGGAAACAUUACAAGUACCUUUCAGAGCUGACUGGCAAAGAAACUCCUGAGGUGACGGUUCUACCCCAAUAUUACUUCUUCGAAGAGCAACCUAACUGGACUUAUCUUCCUCAGUUCUCUGUGAUGAACUUUUGUAGAGCCAUACGAAAGGAGGUUUUUAGCUCUCACCUGUGGUCUUUCUUCAUCAUGCACCUCCUAGAUUCAAAAGUUCAGCAGGGACAUGUCAAGCUAUAUAAAUAAAAACAAACUAAGAAAAAAUGUAACAUUCCAUACCUUAAAACGCAACCUUAAUAACGUGAAAGACCCUGAAGGACUUGAGACGUGAAGAUUUUCUACCACGGUCUUUGCCUGUAUUAUUUCUGACAGCUGUUCCUUUCUACUCCCUCUUGCACACAUCUUUAGUUACUCCCUGUUCUCCAUCCCUCUGAUAAAAUCUAGAGUUCCCCCCUCAAAUUAGAAAAUUAAAAAAAAUUAAAAAUCUAAAAUUAAAAUUUAAAAAAUUUUUAAAAAUCUAGAGUUUAAAAAAAAUGUUCUAUCUCAGGCUUGUGAACCAUAUUGUUAGUUCACAAUUAAGAAUGAUGUACAUCUAUUGGACAAGUUUUAAUUAAUUCUUUCCCUUGGCUGAUUAGUAAAUUUCUGCAGUGAGUACAAAUGUU
rnacentral:lncRNA from 1 species